CCUACGGGAGGCAGCAGUGAGGAAUAUUGGUCAAUGGCCGGAAGGCUGAACCAGCCAAGCCGCGUGAAUGACGAAGGUGCCAAGCAUUGUAAACUUCUUUUGUCAAGGGACAAAAUCAGGCUCGAGAGCCUGACCGAGGGUACUUGAAUAAAAAGCAUCGGCUAACUCCGUGCCAGCAGCCGCGGUAAUACGGAGGAUGCGAGCGUUAUCCGGAUUUAUUGGGGUUAAAGGGUGCGGAGGCGGGCUGUUAUGUCAGCGGUAAAAGGCCGGGGCUCAACCCCGGCGAGCCGUUGAAACUGGCUGUCUUGAGAGGUAGAGAGGUAUGCGGAAUGCGCAGUGUAGCGGUGAAAUGCUUAGAUAUUGCGCAGAACUCCGAUUGCGAAGGCAGCAUACCGGCGGCGAUCUGACGCUGAGGCACGAAAGCGUGGGUAUCGAACAGGAUUAGAUACCCGGGUAGUC
rnacentral:rRNA from 1 species